rnacentral:rRNA from 1 species
AUGACCGAUGCUCUCCCCAGUUCGUUGAGGCUGUGGAAUGGAAAAGGUGUACGUGCGUGGGAUGAGCACACACAGGAAGAAUUUGACCUAAAGGUGUUGCUGUUUGUGACCAUCAAUGAUUGGCCCGCUCUUAGUAACCUUUCAGGACAGACAAACAAGGGAUACCGCUUAAAUAAAAGCUAUGGCGGACAAUACCGGAAGAGAGGGGGAAGAGGCCCUAUUCCAGAUCAUACACUCCCCUCGGCAUUGCAUGGUGAGGGUAACAAUUUCAGAAAUUUUGGUUGUGUCAUGCCAUCAAAUGUGGGUUCUGCGGAUGCCUAUGUGGCUCAAGUGGAGUUGGGUGGUGGGUUUGCUCCCACCUGGCUCAAGUUAGAGGAAAAGCAUCAACAUUAUCUGGUGAAUAUGAUUGUAAAUGUGAGCUCACAAAGCGCACGAGUACGAAUCAAGGUGGUGUUGCAAAUGCGUGUGAAGUCGUGGAUCAUGAACCUCAAGGAUUUAAGUGCAGAAGACAGAUAA